rnacentral:misc_RNA from 1 species
GAUGAAGAACGUAGCGAAAUGCGAUAAGUAAUGUGAAUUGCAGAAUUCCGUGAAUCAUCGAAUCUUUGAACGCACAUUGCGCCUGCCAGCACUCUGGCAGGCAUGCCUGUUCGAGCGUCAUUUCAACCAUCAAGCCCUAGGCUUGCGUUGGAGCCCUGCGGCUGCCGCAGGCCCCUAAAAGCAGUGGCGGGCUCGCUAUCACACCGAGUGCAGUAGAUUACUCUUCGCUCAGGGCGUGUGGCGGGUUCCAGCCGUGAAACCCCCUACUUCUCAAGGUUGACCUCGGAUCAGGUAGGAAUACCCGCUGAACUUAAGCAUAUCAAUAAGCGGAGGA